CAAAAGCUUGGUCCUGACUUUAUUAUCAACUCUAGCUAAAUUUACACAUGCAAGUAUCCGCGACCCUGUGAGAAUGCCCUAACAGUUUUCUGCCAGAAAACAAGGAACCGGUAUCAGGCACACCCCAACGGUAGCCCAUAACACCUUGCCCAGCCACACCCUCAAGGGAACCCAGCAGUGAUAAACCUUAAGCAAUAAGUGAAAACUUGACUUAGUUAAAGCCAAGAGAGCCGGUAAAUCUCGUGCCAGCCACCGCGGUUAUACGAGAGGCUCAAGUUGAUAAACCUCGGCGUAAAGUGUGGUUAAGGAAAUUUUCAACUAAAGCCGAACGCCUAUAAAAGCAGUGAUACGCUUAUUAAGGCAUGAAGCCCCUCUACGAAAGUGGCUUUAUAAACCCUGACUCCACGAAAGCUAUGAAACAAACUGGGAUUAGAUACCCCACUAUGCUUAGCCGUAAACAUUGAUAGAAUGCUACAUAUUUCUAUCCGCCUGGGAAUUACGAGCAUUAGCUUAAAACCCAAAGGACUUGGCGGUUCUUUAGAUCCCCCUAGAGGAGCCUGUCCUAUAACCGAUAAUCCCCGUUCAACCUCACCCUCCCUUGUUAAUCCCGCCUAUAUACCGCCGUCGUAAGCUUGCCCUGUGAAGGCCAAAUAGCGAGCAAAAUUAGUAUAACCCAAAACGUCAGGUCGAGGUGUAGCGCAUGAGAGGGGAAGAGAUGGGCUACAUUCGCUAGUCUAGCGAAUACGGAUGAUGUAAUGAAAACGUACAUACUGAAGGAGGAUUUAGCAGUAAGUGGAAAGCAGAGUGUCCCACUGAAGCAGGCUCUAAAGUGCGCACAUACCGCCCGUCACUCUCCCCGAGCAUUUCCAAACAUAUAACUAAAACAACAUAUGAGCAAAGGUGAGACAAGUCGUAACAUGGUAAGUGUACCGGAAGGUGCACUUGGUACAAAU
rnacentral:ncRNA from 3 species